ACGCACGCUGGCGGCGUGCUUAACACCUGCCAGUCGAACGGGUCUGCCCUGUUUUUUGCGGGGUGGGUCAGUGGCGAACGGGUGAGUAACACGUGAGUAACCUGCCCCUCACUUCUGGAUAACCGCUUGAAAGGGUGGCUAAUACGGGGUGUUCUGGCUGUGCCGCAUGGUGUGGCUGGGAAAGAUUCACUUUUGUGGUGGUUUGGUGGGGGAUGGGCUCGCGGCCUAUCAGCUUGUUGGUGGGGUGAUGGCCUGCCAAGGCUUUGACGGGUAGCCGGCCUUGGCGGGUGGGCGGUCACACUGGGGCUGAGAUACGGCCCAGACUCCUGCGGGAGGCAGCAGUGGGGGGUAUUGCACAAUGGGCGGAAGCCUGAUGCAGCGACGUCGCGUGAGGGAUGGAGGCCUUCGGGUUGUGAACCUCUUUCGCCGGUGAAGAAGGUCCUGCUCUUUGGGGUGGGGUUGACGGUAGCCGGGUUAUGAAGCGCCGGCUAACUACGUG
rnacentral:rRNA from 1 species